CCCAGUCUCUGGUGGAAAGCAGACUGAACCAGGUUAUUGUCCUGCUGAAAGGUGAAUUCAUCUCCCAGUCUCUGGUGGAAAGCAGACUGAACCAGGUUAUUGUCCUGCUGAAAGGUGAAUUCAUCUCCCAGUCUCUGGUGGAAAGCAGACUGAACCAGGUUAUUGUCCUGCUGAAAGGUGAAUUCAUCUCCCAGUCUCUGGUGGAAAGCAGACUGAACCAGGU